UACGUAGGGCGCAAGCGUUGUCCGGAAUUAUUGGGCGUAAAGAGCUCGUAGGCGGCUUGUCACGUCGGGUGUGAAAGCUUGGGGCUUAACCCCGGGUCUGCAUUCGAUACGGGCUGGCUGGAGUGUGGUAGGGGAGAUCGGAAUUCCUGGUGUAGCGGUGAAAUGCGCAGAUAUCAGGAGGAACACCGGUGGCGAAGGCGGAUCUCUGGGCCAUUACUGACGCUGAGGAGCGAAAGCGUGGGGAGCGAACAGG
rnacentral:rRNA from 1 species